AACCAAUAAGCUAAGUUAUAUAUUCUCGGUAAAAAGACAGUUAGACAAAAAUUAGUUAAUUGAUUAUUUAUAUAAAAGUAAAAUUUGAUAUAAAUAUAAUAAUAUGAAAAUAGCUACAUAUUGUUGAACCUGUAAUACCUUUAAGGGAAACUGGGAUUGGAUACCCCAUUAUUUAUUGAUGUAAAUAAAGAAAUUUACCAGAGCACUACGAAUAAAAUAAGAUAAUUUAAAACUCAAAGAGCUUGGCGGUAUUUUAGACCAUUUAGGGGAACCUGUCCCAUAAUCGACAAUCCACGCUAGACCUUACCUUUCUUAGUUAUCAGCUUGUAUACCGUUGUCAUCAGGUAACUUUUAAAGAAAAAAAUAGUUAGCUAAAAAAUUUAUUUAAUUAAGAUGUCAAAUCAAGGUGCAACCCAUAGAAAGGGGAGGAUGGGUUACAAUUACAAAUUAUAAUACGGAUAGGAUAAUAAAAAAAUCUUGAAGGAGGACUUAAAAGUAAGUAUUAUAUAUAAAAAUAACUUGAACAAGGCUCUAAAAUGUGC
rnacentral:rRNA from 1 species